rnacentral:rRNA from 1 species
GGAUUAAGAGCUUGCUCUUAUGAAGUUAGCGGCGGACGGGUGAGUAACACGUGGGUAACCUGCCCAUAAGACUGGGAUAACUCCGGGAAACCGGGGCUAAUACCGGAUAACAUUUUGAACCGCAUGGUUCGAAAUUGAAAGGCGGCUUCGGCUGUCACUUAUGGAUGGACCCGCGUCGCAUUAGCUAGUUGGUGAGGUAACGGCUCACCAAGGCAACGAUGCGUAGCCGACCUGAGAGGGUGAUCGGCCACACUGGGACUGAGACACGGCCCAGACUCCUACGGGAGGCAGCAGUAGGGAAUCUUCCGCAAUGGACGAAAGUCUGACGGAGCAACGCCGCGUGAGUGAUGAAGGCUUUCGGGUCGUAAAACUCUGUUGUUAGGGAAGAACAAGUGCUAGUUGAAUAAGCUGGCACCUUGACGGUACCUAACCAGAAAGCCACGGCUAACUACGUGCCAGCAGCCGCGGUAAUACGUAGGUGGCAAGCGUUAUCCGGAAUUAUUGGGCGUAAAGCGCGCG